rnacentral:rRNA from 1 species
UACGUAGGGUGCAAGCGUAUCCGGAAUUAUUGGGCGUAAAGAGCUCGUAGGCGGUUUGUCGCGUCUGCUGUGAAAACUGGAGGCUCAACCUCCAGCCUGCAGUGGGUACGGGCAGACUAGAGUGCGGUAGGGGAGAUUGGAAUUCCUGGUGUAGCGGUGGAAUGCGCAGAUAUCAGGAGGAACACCGAUGGCGAAGGCAGAUCUCUGGGCCGUAACUGACGCUGAGGAGCGAAAGCAUGGGGAGCGAACAGG